CCCUCCUCUCCCCCACCUGACGUGAGCACACUACCCAGCACCAGGGUAACUUUAACACAGCUGCAUAGUUAUUUGAGAGUUCGGGGGAAAUCGUUAUUCUUUCAACCGUCCAUGCAGUCCAGCAGCUGUCAACAUGCAGUGGAAAACAGGCGAUUUUGGAAGGGCUGACCCCCAAAUGGACCGUGGAAUCUAGCUGUCUUCAUGGAAGUAACUUAUCACAUGCUGAUGCUGCUUUUAGAGUAGGCUAUCCAUUCAAAAAUAAAGUAAACUGUCAAAUAAA